rnacentral:rRNA from 1 species
GCAGACGGGUGAGUAAUGUAUAGGAAUCUACCUAGUAGUACGGAAUAAUUGUUGGAAACGGCAACUAAUACCGUAUACGCCCUACGGGGGAAAAAUUUAUUGCUAUUAGAUGAGCCUAUAUUAGAUUAGUUAGUUGGUGAGGUAAAGGCUUACCAAGACAAUGAUCUACAGCUGAUCUGAGAGGAUGAUCAGCCACACUGGAACUGAGAUACGGUCCAGACUCCUACGGGA